rnacentral:rRNA from 1 species
AGUCGCACGGGUUUAGACCCGUGGCGGAUAGCUCAGUAACACGUGGCCAAACUACCCUGUGGACGGGAAUAACCUCGGGAAACUGAGGCUAAUACCCGAUACGACUCGCACGCUGGAGUGCGGCGAGUCGGAAACGUCCUGGCGCCACAGGAUGUGGCUGCGGCCGAUUAGGUAGACGGUGGGGUAACGGCCCACCGUGCCAAUAAUCGGUACGGGUCAUGAGAGUGAGAGCCCGGAGACGGUAUCUGAGACAAGAUACCGGGCCCUACGGGGCGCAGCAGGCGCGAAACCUUUACACUGCACGACAGUGCGAUAGGGGGACUCCGAGUGCGAGGGCAUAUAGUCCUCGCUUUUCUGUACCCUAAGGUGGUACAAGAAUAAGGGCUGGGCAAGACCGGUGCCAGCCGCCGCGGUAAUACCGGCAGCCCGAGUGAUGGCCGCUGUUAUUGGGCCUAAAGCGUCCGUAGCCGGCCAGACAAGUCUGUUGGGAAAUCGACGCGCUCAACGCGUCGGCGUCCGGCGGAAACUGUUUGGCUUGGGGCCAGAAGACUCGAGGGGUACGUCCGGGGUAGGAGUGAAAUCCCGUAAUCCUGGACGGACCACCGGUGGCGAAAGCGCCUCGAGAAGAUGGACCCGACGGUCAGGGACGAAAGCUAGGGUCUCGAACCGGAUUAGAUACCCGGGUAGUCCUAGCU